rnacentral:rRNA from 1 species
CCUAACACAUGCAAGUCGAACGGUAACAGGAAGCAGCUUGCUGCUUCGCUGACGAGUGGCGGACGGGUGAGUAAUGUCUGGGAAGCUGCCUGAUGGAGGGGGAUAACUACUGGAAACGGUAGCUAAUACCGCAUAACGUCGCAAGACCAAAGAGGGGACCUUCGGGCCUCUUGCCAUCGGAUGUGCCCAGAUGGGAUUAGCUAGUAGGUGGGGUAACGGCUCACCUAGGCGACGAUCCCUAGCUGGUCUGAGAGGAUGACCAGCCACACUGGAACUGAGACACGGUCCAGACUCCUACGGGAGGCAGCAGUGGGGAAUAUUGCACAAUGGGCGCAAGCCUGAUGCAGCCAUGCCGCGUGUAUGAAGAAGGCCUUCGGGUUGUAAAGUACUUUCAGCGGGGAG